rnacentral:misc_RNA from 1 species
AAUUUCGUGACCAAACAACAGAAGAGAGCCAUGGAGAAGGCCCGUUACGUGUGGAAGACGAAUCGAACAAAAAAGCAGUAUAUAAAAGCCCCAAAACCAUAUAAAAUCUCUCACUUGUUUUCCUUUGCUACCACAGUAAGUUACACUCUACAAUCUGCACCCCACCUCCCUCGUCAUCUCACCUGCUCAUCCCUCGUUUUUUUCCUAGCAACAGAAUCAUAAAUAUAUAAUUUUAUUGUUCCUAUUUUCUGUUUGAUUCCCCAGAAAACUAAGGAAGAAAAAAUUUGAAAUUUUCUCUGUAAGUUUCACCAGCUCUCUUUCCUUCUCUGUUCAAUUUGUUUGGGGGCUUUAUUUCUUUCAAUUUUGUUGCUAAAAAAAGGAAAUUUAAUUCUGCUGUAUUUUUUUGUUGGAAUUUCAGUUUGAAUUAAUGAGUAUUUUCUUAUAGUAUUAACCUUUUUUUUUUUUGGCAUUUUUCUUGAUGUUCUAUUUUUCUUUUAAUAUGGAUGGACGCUAUUAGGGGAUUUUAGCAACAGUAUUCAAUUUUGAUUAUUUUCUUCUGCUUUUGGUGAUUAGGGGUUUUUCCUUUUAAAUUCUGUGAAAUUGGAUAAUAAAAAUAUCUACUUUGUUCUAAGACGGUAUUUGUCAUCUUUGUUUGAUUUCCAAGAAAAUGCUGGAAUGUGAAUAACUCUCUCUCUCUCUCUCAUGAAAAAAUUACAGAUGUUAAGUCGAAAAGUGGCAGAAAAUUAUUUCAGUUCAACUCGAUUACCUCUGUUAUGUUUCUUUUUCUUUUGUUGCUGAGAGAUUGCAGGAAAUGAGGGAGGUGAAAAAUGUUAGUGGAAUUUUUUUUUUAUAAAUAUUGGAAACUUAAUUGCAGUCCAUUCAUUCAUCUUUGUUUUUUUCUCUUCUAAUUGCUAAAAAUGCUAGAAAGUGAUAAACUGCUUUCCUGUUUCCUAAAAACUAUGAAAUUAGUUGUCAAUGGAGAAAUAAUUUGAGUCUGCUAGUUUGUUUGAUGUUUCUGUGUGGUUGUUAGUGAUAGAAUUUCAGUCGCAUAUAAUCUUGGAUGGUAGUUAAUUUUAUUAGUUGGCAGAUACUGGAAAUUCAACUUUGUGUUUUCUUUUUACUCUCUGUCCAUUUGAUUGAUGGGAAAGUACACAAUAAUGAUGAAAUGGAAAUUAUGAAUCCCAGCAUGUAUGAUUUUGAGUGUUGUAUUGGUAUUUUUUGCUUAAGUGUUUUCUCAUAUUACAAUGGCCUAAAAUUUUGAUUGAAUUUGUGUUGUUGAGUUUUUUGGUGAAUUGGGUCUUCCAAAAUUGUGUUAGAAGAAAAAUUUUAGCUCGAAAUUCCAUCCCAGUUUGAGGAGCCGAACCUAUAUUUGUCGAUUACAUUCAAUACUUGAAUACCCUAAUCUUACUUCUGCUAGAUGGAACUUUGUUUGGUCAAAUAUAGUUGGCAUGAAAUCUGCAGACCAACUAUCCUAUGGCAAGUCUGCCUUGUAAGCGUAAAGAUCAUAGAUGCACAACACAAGCAUGACAGGAAAUUUGCUAAAAUGGAACUGCCAAGAAUUGUUGCAUGAGGGAAACUGUUGAGAUUAGCAGAUAUUUAAUGACUAUCUGACUGUUGGAAUCAAGGAAAUUGUUGAGGUAGUGCACUCGCAUCUUAUAAUCAAUUUGAAUAUUUUUGCUGUUGUAAUUUUGUGGUUAGAAUGGAGGAAAUAUGAUCCAUUAAGUGGACCCCAAUUAGUUUGGAUUUGGUGUUGAGUUUGGUAGUGACUUUGUGAAUUUUGAUUGGGAGUUAUUACUGCUACCAAUGUCCCUUUAGGCUUGCUAGAGUUGUUUAGGAGUGAUUAAUAGUUGAAUUAAGAUAUGUCUAGGACCUCUAGGUCUACCAGAUUUUUUUCCUUCAACAGGUGAUUCGAUUGGGCAUAUUUCAAAACACUCAACUGCUCCAAUAUGAAAGUGCCUUUACGGUAGAAAUAAUAUUGUUGUUUAUUACUGGUAUUUGACAUGACUUUACCUUUGUGCUACUUCUGCUGCCACAUGAUGUACAAAGGCAACAGACGUCUGUUUUUGUUCCUUCUUGCUGUUAACAUGGAACUCAAAUUUGUUUAACAAAUUUUAAGAGAUGUCUACAAGCUUGGAGUUGAAGAUUUGCAAUUUUCAUUUGCAUAAAUCUGUAUUUUUUUUUUUAAAUAUUUUAGGAGUGGUAUAAUGUGAUUGUUUUGAACAAAAUCUGAGUUAUGAACUAGUGCAGCUGCAGCACUAAAGCUGGGAGAUUGUCAUAUCACCCUAGGAUAGGCUAACUCAGAAGUGGAGAGGCUAGCUCAAGAAGCUGGUUUGAACUUUGUAAGCAGAGGGCAGAUCAUAGAAUGGGAAAUAAACUACAAAAGCCACAAGAAACAGACAUAGUUGAAGAACAUGAACAACAUGAAGAAGUUUCAAAUUUCACAUGUGAUAUAUGCAUUGAACCCAUGGAAUCAAACAGGAAAUUUAAGAAUGGUGGCUUGUGCAGUCAUCCUUUCUGCUUGGACUGCAUAUCCAAGUAUAUUACAAUAAAAGUUGAAGACGUCACUGGAAACAUUGAAUGCCCUGGACUGAACUGCAACCAUGCACUGGACCCGCUCUCAUGCAGGUCUAUUGUCUCAAAGUCACUGUUUGAUCAGUGGUGUGAUCUUCUAUGUGAUUCCACGGUCUUGAGGUUUGAAAGGUGCUAUUGUCCUUAUCGAGAUUGCUCAGCUUUGGUUUUGAAUGAGUGCAAGGAUAAACUGAAGAAAAUAAAGUGUCCUAACUGCAAGAAGAACUUCUGUUUUCGGUGCAAGAUUCCAUGGCAUGCUGGAUAUCAGUGCAAUGAAAGUGGACAGUUGAGAGAUACUAAUGACAUUCUUAUUGGGGAACUUAUAGAAGAGAAGAAGUGGACUAGAUGUUAUAAUUGUGGUCACUCUGUUGAGCGAGUUAGUGGUUGCAGAGAUAUCAAAUGCAAAUGCGGUGUUCGGUUUUGCCAUCAAUGUGGAGGACGGUUCCAUUUAGGUCCCUGUAAGCACAAGUGUUGUGGAGAUGCUUUCUGCAUGUUAUUAUUUUUGGUAGUGUUGAUAAUUUUUCCUUAUCUAUUAUACCAUCAAGUGAACAUACUAUCGCCAGAUACCAAAUAGCCUAUUGGUACUGCAGAAUUGCCCCAACAACCUAUACUACAUAUAUGAUGUGCUUUAGCAAUUAGGCUGUAAAUGAUGCUUUAUCUAUUCAUUCAAUAAAAAGUAAACAUGAUAUUACUUCUACAUUUGUUAUUAGCACAAUAGUUUUAAUGUGUACAGUUAUAUACACUCAUACGCUUACGCAUGUAAGCUGGUUUGACAUCUGUGCUAGGAUUUUGCUUUUCG